rnacentral:tRNA from 1 species
GGGAAGUUGGCUCAGUGGUAGAGCGCUUGCCUUGCAUGCAUGAGGCCUUAGGUUCAAUUCCUCAGCACCACA